GCACAUGCGCGGCAGCUCCCGCUGCUGAAUAGCUGAGAGGCGCACCCGGGCGGCCAGCUGGGCUCGGAGUGCAGCGGGGUUAGGAUGGACGAGGACGUGUUGCACCCUGAAGAGCCUCAUCAUCGCCUGCUCUUGAGGUUCACAGAUGAUACCUUUGAUCCAGAACUUGCAGCAACAAUAGCUCUGUUCUGUAUUUGCUUCUUCCAGACAAUGCAGGAAUCACAUGAACCUGUCCAUCCACAGAUAAAGUGGUAAAGAAACUGCCGUAUUAGAUACAUGAUGGUAUACUCUUCAGCCAUAAAGCUUCGGGAAACCCUGUCAUCCGCAACCACGUGGAGAAACCUGUCCAUCCACAGAUGAAGGGAUCAGGAAGCUCUGGUAUAUAUACUGAAGGGAAAUGCUUUUUGGCUACCAAAAUAAUGAAAUUUUGUUGUUUGGAGCAACACAGAUGAACCUGUCCAUCCACAAAUGAAGACAUCAAGAAACUCUAGUAUGUACACAAGGCAAAACACUUCAGCUAUCAAAAUCAUGACAUUAUGUCACUUGGAGCAACACAGUUGACCCGCCAAGGCAGCCUCUUCCUCCAUAGAUGGAUGAACGCUGUGGCCGCUGCUCCUGCCUGGGCCAUGCCCUGAUGCUGCCAACACCACUGCUCCUCUAUUUAUAAGUCUUAGUAGAGUUGCUGACCCAGCAAUAACUGAACAGCUGAUAUGUACCUCACACUAAGCCAGGCGCUUCAUAUGUAUCUAACUUGAAAAAUGCUGAGCUAGUUACCUUAACACCAUUAACUUUUACUUAAAAGUUUGUUUUUCUUUUUUAAUCCCAGUGAGCUCCAAACAAGUUUUAGGAGGCUCCCCAAAACCAGUGAAGACUUUAACUAAAAGUAGAAUUUCAAAGUAUUAGAAACCAAACCCCAAAAUUAAAUGUGAAGAUCAGUGUCUGUACUGAGCUGGCCCAUCUGGUGGACACAGGAUUUGCGUUAUCGACUGCAAUGUUACCCAGGAUUCACGAUUUCUAGCAUCUGUCAGGGUUAAGAAAAUUGGAUUGAGUACCAAAUACAGCAGAGCAAACCCGGCUUUGAGGCAAGGGCCCCAUCAAGUAGUCAUGCAGUACUUUUGUUAGGGUUCUGGGUGCAAAUCUUCCUCGUCCCUCCCACCUUCUCCUGGCCUCCUUGUAAACCCAAACCGCCAGGUACCUCAAUUUUCUUCAAGACCAGGCUGUUCUUAAUGUUGGUAAAUUGGUCAAGGAAAUGGGUGAGCCACUGCUUGCUCUGCACAUCGUCCUCAGAGUGCUCGGUCUUCAGGCAGUACAGCAGCUGCAUGGCUUUGGCCUGCAGGAGUAAGUGGCCCAUUCCUAGGCUGUCCCCAAAGAUGUGUCCUCUGAAGAAGCUGGUCAGGUAGAGGGGGUGUCCACUAUGGUUAUAGAUGGGGAAGGAGAUGCUGCCCAGGUCGAGCGUUUUGUCCACCUGCCAGGUGUACAGGAGUGGGUUGGGGGCACCACGCAGAGCAUCUUGUACCUCGCGCACACCUGCUGGUACUGGAGCUGGCUUGCGUUUCCCUGUGCCACACGCAGAUCCUGCACUGUACUGUCCAGUCAACUGACUUCAGCAAAGAUGUCUGGGUUCAGCAGCGAGUUGCUGUGUGAGGCCACCAGAAUGGAGGUGAUAUCGGCCUCAGUGCUCAUCCUGGAGGUGGAGAAGUGGUCAGAGUCCUCUGUGGUGAAAUGGCCCUACACCAAAGUGGGAGACAUUCAGAAUCGAGGCGAAAUUGGCCUCAGUGCUCCUCUUGGAGGCAGAGAAGCAGUAGGAGUCGGUGGUGAAAUGGCCCUGUGUGAAUGUGGAAGACCAGCAGAUUGGAGGUGGAAUUGGCCUCAGUGCUUGUCCUGGAGGUGGAGAAGCGGUCAGAGUCCUUGGUGGUGAAGUGGCCCUGCACAAAACGUUGCUCCCCCUUGGCCGGUGAAAGAAUAAAAGAAAGCUGGCCACUUGCAUUUCCGUUUCAGUUUAUAGAAUACAUGUUUUGGAAAUAGUAUCUUCUAGAUCUGUCUUUUUCUCUUCUGAUUUAACUUAGUAAAGCUAAGUUUUAUCUCUUCAAAAAAAAAAAAAAAAAAAAAAAAAAAAAAAAAAAAAA
rnacentral:lncRNA from 1 species